AUUGAACGCUGGCGGCAGGCCUAACACAUGCAAGUCGAACGGUAACAGGAAACAGCUUGCUGUUUCGCUGACGAGUGGCGGACGGGUGAGUAAUGUCUGGGAAACUGCCUGAUGGAGGGGGAUAACUACUGGAAACGGUAGCUAAUACCGCAUAACGUCGCAAGACCAAAGAGGGGGACCUUCUGGCCUCUUGCCAUCGGAUGUGCCCAGAUGGGAUUAGCUAGUAGGUGGGGUAACGGCUCACCUAGGCGACGAUCCCUAGCUGGUCUGAGAGGAUGACCAGCCACACUGGAACUGAGACACGGUCCAGACUCCUAAGGGAGGCAGCAGUGGGGAAUAUUGCACAAUGGGCGGAAGCCUGAUGCAGCCAUGCCGCGUGUAUGAAGAAGGCCUUCGGGUUGUAAAGUACUUUUAGCGGGGAGGAAGGGAGUAAAGUUAAUACCUUUACUCAUUGACGUUACCCGAAGAAGAAGCAACGGCUAACUCCGUG
rnacentral:rRNA from 1 species